rnacentral:rRNA from 1 species
CCUACGUGAGGCUGCAGUGAGGAAUAUUGGUCAAUGGGCGCGAGCCUGAACCAGCCAAGUCGCGUGAGGGAGGACGGCCCUACGGGUUGUAAACCUCUUUUGCCGGGGAGCAACGGGCGUCACGUGUGGCGCCACUGAGAGUACCCGGAGAAAAAGCAUCGGCUAACUCCGUGCCAGCAGCCGCGGUAAUACGGAGGAUGCGAGCGUUAUCCGGAUUUAUUGGGUUUAAAGGGUGCGUAGGCGGAUCGUUAAGUCAGUGGUCAAAUUGAGGGGCUCAACCCCUUCCCGCCAUUGAAACUGGCGCUCUUGAGUGGAAGAGAAGUAUGCGGAAUGCGUGGUGUAGCGGUGAAAUGCGUAGAUAUAAGGAAGAACACCAGUGGCGAAGGCGGAUGACUGGACGGCAACUGACGGUGAGGCGCGAAAGCGUGGGGAGCAAACAGGAUUAGAUACCCCAGUAGUC